rnacentral:rRNA from 1 species
UACGUAGGGGGCUAGCGUUGUCCGGAAUCAUUGGGCGUAAAGAGCGUGUAGGCGGCCCGGUAAGUCCGCUGUGAAAGUCGGGGGCUCAACCCUCGAAUGCCGGUGGAUACUGUCGGGCUAGAGUGCGGAAGAGGCGAGUGGAAUUCCUGGUGUAGCGGUGAAAUGCGCAGAGUAUCAGGAGGAACACCAAUUGCGAAGGCAGCUCGCUGGGACGUAAGCUGACGCUGAGACGCGAAAGCGUGGGGGGAGCAAACAGG